UACGUAGGGUGCAAGCGUUAAUCGGAAUUACUGGGCGUAAAGCGCACGUAGGCGGAUCGUUAAGUCAGGGGUGAAAUCCCAGAGCUCAACUCUGGAACUGCCUUUGAUACUGGCGAUCUCGAGUCCGGAAGAGGUGAGUGGAACUCCUAGUGUAGAGGUGGAAUUCGUAGAUAUUAGGAAGAACACCAGUGGCGAAGGCGGCUCACUGGUCCGGAACUGACGCUGAGGUGCGAAAGCGUGGGGAGCAAACAGG
rnacentral:rRNA from 1 species